GGAGGUAGCUCAGUGGUAGAGUGCUUUAUACCUAGCAUGCUCAAGGUCCUGGGUUCAAACUCCAGCACUGCA
rnacentral:tRNA from 1 species